UGUCUCGGUCAAGACGCUCGUCUGGUAAACAAGAGAGCGCGGGUUCAAUCCCUGCCGAGACAU
rnacentral:tRNA from 1 species